GUUAUAAUAUCCACCCUGCACAGCCAGAAGAGGACUGGCCACCCCUCAUAGCCUGGUUCCUCUCUAGGUUUCUUCCUAGGUUUUUGGCCUUUCUAGGGAGUUUUUCCUAGGGAGUUUUUCCUAGCCACCGUGUUUCUUUCACAUGCUUUGCUUGCUGUUUAGGGUUUUAGGCUGGGUUUCUGUACAGCACUUUGAGAAUAUCAGCUGAUGUACGAAGGGCUAUAUAAAAAUAAAUUUGAUUUGAUUUGAUUUGGUCUUCAGUGUGACAGGUUAGUAUAGUGGUGAACCUAUAGGCCUUCAGUGUGACAGGUUAGUACAGUGGUGAACCUAUAGGCCUUCAGUGUGACAGGUUAGUACAGUGGUGAACCUAUAGGCCUUCAGCGUGUGACAGGUUAGUACAGUGGUGAACCUAUAGGUCUUCAGUGUGUGACAGGUUAGUACAGUGGUGAACCUAUAGGCCUUCAGUGUGACAGGUUAAUACAGUGGUGAACCUAUAGGCCUUCAGUGUGACAGGUUAAUACAGUGGUGAACCUAUAGGUCUUCAGUGUGUGACAGGUUAGUACAGUGGUGAACCUAUAGGCCUUCAGUGUGACAGAUUAAUACAGUGGUGAACCUAUAGGCCUUCAGUGUGACAGGUUAGUAUAGUGGUGAACCUAUAGGCCUUCAGUGUGACAGGUUAGUACAGUGGUGAACCUAUAGGUCUUCAGUGUGUGACAGGUUAGUAUAGUGGUGAACCUAUAGGCCUUCAGUGUGACAGGUUAGUACAGUGGUGAACCUAUAGGUCUUCAGUGUGUGACAGGUUAGUAUAGUGGUGAACCUAUAGGCCUUCAGUGUGACAGGUUAGUACAGUGGUGAACCUAUAGGUAUUCAGUGUGUGACAGGUUAGUACAGUGGCGAACCUAUAGGCCUUCAGUGUGACAGGUAAGUACAGUGUUGAACCUAUAGGCCUUCAGUGUGUGACAGGUUAAUACAGUGGUGAACCUAUAGGUCUUCAGUGUGUGACAGGUUAGUACAGUGGUGAACCUAUAGGUCUUCAGUGUGUGACAGGUUAGUACAGUGGUGAACCUAUAGGUCUUCAGUGUGUGACAGGUUAGUACAGUGGUGAACCUAUAGGUCUUCAGUGUGUGACAGGUUAAUACAGUGGUGAACCUAUAGGCCUUCAGUGUGACAGGUUAGUACAGUGGUGAACCUAUAGGCCUUCAGUGUGACAGGUUAGUACAGUGGUGAACUUUGGGAACUUUUUGACAAAUUAGAGCAUACCCACUUAUGCAGGCACCACUACACCACUGCAUAGAGCCGAUGGAAGGACAGCAGUCACACAGCAUGAUGUUAAAGGAUAAGCAGUCCAUAAACUCUGACAUAAUAAACCAGUAGGUUCCCAGUCAUAAGAAUACAAAAACACAACCAUGAAGCACUUCCCAAUCGAAAUGUACAAUUAUUACUUUCCAUUGCAAAAAACAUUUCAUGUUUAGCACACAAUGUACAUUAAGCAGUGACUCAAAGUUUAAAGUGGAACUGACAGCGUUUCAACUACUUUGCAGAUAUGAAACAAACAGACAAUCGUAGAAUCGUAAAAAAUAUCAAAUUCACAGUUUAUGCUACAAAACCAAUUCAUGAGAGGUUUUAAAAAAUAAGUUAUAUUUGACUCAACGUUCAAUGAUUUACUAUAAGGCAUUGUUGGCAAAAUAGAUGGUUUCAGUUCAAUGGAUGAUUCAUAUAUUUCUGGGACUACAUUUCUUGGUAGUCCCAGAAAUAUUGCUCUCAGGUUGUAAAUCACAACCUGGUACAUUGUCUGCUGCCUCCAUUCGGGAUGCACUGUUUCAGUUUCAAUGACUCAAUAUUCUGGACAAAAACGGACAAAUGUAAUUAAGGCUGGGAAUGUCAAUACAAUCAAACUAGCAAGGGCAAUCGGCACAAGUUAUUCAUAAUGUGGCUAAUAGCGUAUCUAUUAGUGUCUAUCUAUUAUUUCUGUAGCCAGCUAAAAACACGGAGCCUAAAGUUAGCUAGCUAGCUAGCUAGCUAGCUGCUAGGAGGAUGUCAUGUCAUGCCAUUGGAGGAGUGGGUGAGGGACUGACUUUUCCCCCUCAUAUAAUUUUUCAGUAGCUAUACACAACAAGAGAUGCAGGUGUCAUUUGGUUAGCUAGCAAGAACUUGAAACUAUUAUACAGUUAGCAUGUCUCUUGCUUGAUUUCUCAAAUUCACUCUGGCUAUCUACUCCGAUUUCAGAGAACUCUCGUCUGUGUGCCAGAGCACACAACACCUGCUGAAUAUGACCGGUGUCAGCAAACGUAAGCAAAACAAGUUAUAUUUAGUCAAGAACGCUCUAGAUAACACCCUAACCAGCUCUGCUAUGCAGAGUAAAAUGGGCAGGGUGAGGUGUUCUCUCAUUUGUGUCUGGAAGUAGCUAGCUAGCAAGCUAGCCAACUUUAGCCAGUUAGCUUGGGUGCUUGGUUGGGACAAGCAUGCAUUGGCAGGCAAGCUGCAGAAGGAUGAAGAGGCUACAAUUCCCCAUUGUUAUUCAGUGCAAUUUUGACGGCCAACUAAUGAUCGUUCUAAUGAUCUAAAGUUGCACUGUUGGACAAGACAGAAGUUUUUAUUCGGUUUUAUUUACUGCAGGGUCUAUUAGUUGUCCAAACGCACGGUCACUUUCCAACACCAUAUUGCUAUAGAAUUUUCACAAAUGUGUUACUAUACGUAAUUCCCAAACAUUCUAAGAAUUUAUGAAAACUUGAAAAUUACAAUAUCUAAAUGGUCGCUGUCACGCCCUGACCUGAGAGAGACGGUUUGAUUCUCUAUGUGGUUAGGUCAGGGUGUGGGGUGGGCAUUCUAUGGUGUAUAUUUCUUUGUGUAUGGUUCCUAAUCAGAGGCAGCUGUCUAUCGUUGUCUCUGAUUAAGAAUCAUACUUAGGCAGCCUUUCCCCACCUGUAGUUGUGGGAUCUUAUUUUUGUACUGCUUGUUAAGCCUGCAAGACGUUACGCUCGUG
rnacentral:lncRNA from 1 species